GGGCUUCAUCUUUCAUCAUUUAAUGUUCAAAUCAUCAUGUGACCCGGAUGCUCCAUCACUGAGUGACAUAGCACAAGUCAACAAAGCCCAUAAACUAAAAGAGAGUGAUGAAAAGGGGAGAUAUGACAUCUUCACCGUGGAUACACC